GAUCUGUGCUCCUCAAAGCCGGUAAGAUGGGAUCUGUACUACUCGUACCAAAGCCGGUAAGAUGGGACAAAGCCCUUCUCUUCUUUGGGUUUUUUGUGUGGGUGUGAUUGCAAUACUCGGUGAAUGAAGCGGUUGCGGGUUGAAACAAGUAUGUUGCGGUUGUUGGGUGCGUUUGGGCACCAAGUCUUUGAUGUUAUUCCUCAAAGAAAUUGAUACUGAAUUUUUUUUUUUU